rnacentral:lncRNA from 1 species
AUGAACACACAGGUUGCUGCUCUGAGUGAACUUGCCACAGAACGGACACUUGUGAGGUUUCUCUCCGGUCUGGGUUCGCAGGUCUCUAAGCAGGAACGUCUUGCCCCAUUUGUUGCACUUAAAAGGCUUCUCUCUGUGGCAUGGCUCUCACCCGCGUGUCAUAUGAGGUUAACGUCCUUUAUAAAACGUUGAAGCUGAGGUUCUCCGCAGAAACAGCGGCAGCCUGACAGGAGGUGUACAUGUGCAGCAGCAGUCUGAUGAAGGGGUCUGACAGUAGGCAGUUUCACUUUAAAGUUGUUUCACACAGUUGGAGGGAGCGGCCUCCAGUGAGCUCUAUUUAUUCCUCUUUGAUCUGCAGGAAUAUUUCAUCUUGGCUCUGCUGCGGCUCCAUGUUGGGACUCCACUCCUGCUGAGGAAGGAACAUCUCUUCCUGACACUCCAGGGCCAUCUAUUAAACAUGAAGCAACAGUUUACUGACACAGACUUUGGGUAUUACUGAAGCUCUGGAGUAGAAAUAUGCUGAGUUUGACCUCUCGGUCUCAUUUAUGUCACUCUUCAUUAUCUCACUGUCUGUUCUUAUUGGAAGUCUUACAUGAGGAAAUCCUGUCGGUAAAAUAAAUCUCAAACAACAACUUGAACAUUUCCAGGAGAAAAAUAGUUCCUUUGGUUUGAAACAUUUAAAGUACAUUAGAACAAAAGACUUGGACUGGUUAAAGUCUGAUCUGCCUAUUUUAUUGACAUUUGUCUCAUUUUAAGGAUGCUUUUUGUCUGGUUGUUGCAGCCUGUGAUUCUAGUAUAAAGAUAUUUUUGUUUCAUAUUGUGAAUUUGAUUGCUGAAGAAGGUUAGUGACCUGAACGUUGAAUAUUGAACUUGGAUGUUUUUCCUCUGCACCUGACUACCACAACGUUGCCAGAUGCCACUCUCUCUUCACCGUGUAAUUCUAUAAAUGUCAUAAAACAAAAUACUAUAUAUAUUAAUAAAAAAAAUAUAGUAAUAAAAUAAAAUAUAGUCCAAAAAAAUAGAACCCAAGCUCAAAAGAAACUUUGAAUAUAUAGGCUGCUGGCUAAAUAAAUAAUUAUAAAAGCUACACACCGGUAUACAGAUGCAGAGCAGCUCUCUGGUCUCCUCUUGUUAAAUGCAUCCAUGUUGGUGCAUCACUGCCCCCCCCUACAGGUCAACAUAUUAAACGAACACUUCAAAAGAAAAAGAAUUCCCUUAGCAAUACACACAGCCCACUGGUUUUAUAAGCAACAUCAUUUAAUCUUAAAAUAAAAUAAAUCAUUGUGUUGGUUUACCUUCCAUAUAAAUAUAAAUAAAUAUGCAAAUUGCUAAAAACAAAUAUGUUUAUGCCCGACAAUGUUUUUAAGUAUUGAAUAUAUUGUAGCACUGAAAUAUUGAGUGUGGUCUGAAAUGUACAUGUGUAUA